rnacentral:lncRNA from 1 species
GUUGCACAAAAUUUAACUAUGCAAAAACCUGUAUAUUAUAGUAUAUGUCUGGCAUACAAUAUUUUAUAGUAUAGUCAAGUUACAAUUUACCAAAAUCCAAAGGAGAGCAAUUAUCCUGUUAAAGCCUUGAUGUUAAAAAAUACACACUGUUUGCUAUGUGCUGAGAUAAAUUAAGAAACUAGUUGCAGAUUUUCGUUCUAAGAAAUUCCUAAGUGAUUACUUGCUUUUAUUUUCUUAAUUGCAUAAAAAAAAGCUGACUGGCUUAAAUAUGUCUGUUUUGCUUUAACCUGGCAUAUUUUUUUAGAGUGUUUUCAGAAUGUCUUUGCAGUUCUUCAAUGUGUGAAUUUAAAAGUUCUUCAAAUUCUUUGGUGUGUUUCUCUUCCUCCUGAAGGAACUUUUCUGCUGUUGCAAGGAGGGACAUCUGAGAAGGAGACUGAGCAAUGCAUAGAGGGACAUGGUUAGACAAGAAAAACAAGUCAUUGAUGAGAAUCACUUUUUUGCCUCGUUAGCCGCUGGAAAUGAAGGAGUAUGCCUGAUGCAGAUGCAGCAAAUCCACAUGUGAAAUUUGUGUUACUUCUUAUGUCUUCUCCUCAAACAAGAACUGCCCAAAUUUUAUAUACUUUCUGCAGGAAAGACUAAAUUUGAUGCUGGGACAAUGGAGUGUCCUAAUGAAUAAUCUUCCCAGAGGACUUCAAGCAACUGUUUUCUGAAGUUGUUCAUUUCCAGAAGAAAGCACACUCCAAACUACUGUCCAGAGAAAGAAUAUCCACCUAUAUUUGGGAAACUUUGAAACAAGAAUUUUUUGGUUUAUGGGAUUCUCCGAUGAAUCUCACCUGAGGUUUCCAGUUCACUCUAAAGGUGGGUGUGGCCUUCUCUAUACAUGUAACCUCUAAGUAGGAAUGUAAAGGAACAGAGGUUCCAGUGCAACAGUUACUAAGGUAAGGUAGUUUGAAGAUCUCUAUUGGAGAGCGAGACUUAAGUCUUUGUCUAGUCUUUCCUAGUUAUUUUCUCUCUUCCCCAAAUACCUUACCAAUGAAAUAAUUUUGUUAGAUAUCAGGAGGUCACCUCUAAUUCCAAUGUUUUCAAGUGGCGCUACAAAUAUGCUUCAGAAAAGUGGUCCCUUGUAACAUCUUCAGGAGUUUUGAACAUCUGGGAGAUCUGAUUUAGGUGAAGCAUCAGUUUUGAGAAAGCUGUCAAAGAACUCUGGAUUACAAUACAUUGUAUGACUUUUUCCUCUGUCUUCCUCUUCUGCAUGCAAUGGCUUCCUUUGAACUCAGAACUUCAGAGCAACAGACUGGUGAACAAGCUCUGAACUAAAGCUGUGGUAUCCAAAGUCAGUUUGAGUAAUAACUUAAUUCUGGUGGUCUUCUGGACUUGCACCUGGUUCAAGGCCACUGAUUUGGAUCUAGUCUCAGUGAGAAAAAUAUCCAUCACAUCAUAGUUUCAUUAUGUACUUUGCCCACACACCAGCUGGAAAGUGUUUUUCCUUAUCAUCUAGU